rfam:Otolemur garnettii contig156380, whole genome shotgun sequence.
UCACUUUAGCAGUGCACAUACUAAAAUUGGAAUGAUACACACAGGAUUAGCAUGGCCAUGUGCAAGGAUGACUCACAAGUUCAUUAAACAUUUCAUAUUUUU